GAUGAACGCUGGCGGCGUGCCUAAUACAUGCAAGUCGAGCGAACGGACGAGAAGCUUGCUUCUCUGAUGUUAGCGGCGGACGGGUGAGUAACACGUGGAUAACCUACCUAUAAGACUGGGAUAACUUCGGGAAACCGGAGCUAAUACCGGAUGAUAUUUUGAACCGCAUGGUUCAAAAGUGAAAGACGGUCUUGCUGUCACUUAUAGAUGGAUCCGCGCUGCAUUAGCUAGUUGGUAAGGUAACGGCUUACCAAGGCAACGAUGCAUAGCCGACCUGAGAGGGUGAUCGGCCACACUGGAACUGAGACACGGUCCAGACUCCUACGGGAGGCAGCAGUAGGGAAUCUUCCGCAAUGGGCGAAAGCCUGACGGAGCAACGCCGCGUGAGUGAUGAAGGUCUUCGGAUCGUAAAACUCUGUUAUGGAAGAACAUAUGUGUAAGUAACUGUGCACAUCUUGACGGUACCUAAUCAGAAAGCCACGGCUAACUACGUG
rnacentral:rRNA from 1 species